CCGAUAUAGCUCAAUCGGUAGAGCAACUGAUUUGUAAUCAGUAGGUUUACGGUUCAAGUCCGC
rnacentral:tRNA from 1 species